rnacentral:rRNA from 1 species
UGCCAGACUCCUACGGGAGGCAGCAGUGGGGAAUAUUGCACAAUGGGGGAAACCCUGAUGCAGCAACGCCGCGUGGGUGAAGGAGCGUUUCGGCGCGUAAAGCCCUGUCAGCGGGGAAGAAGAAAGACGGUACCCGACCAAGAAGCCCCGGCUAACUACGUGCCAGCAGCCGCGGUAAUACGUAGGGGGCGAGCGUUAUCCGGAUUCACUGGGCGUAAAGGGAGCGCAGGCGGCAUGGCAAGUCUGAUGUGAAAACCCGGGGCCCAACCCCGGGAGUGCAUUGGAAACUGCCAGGCUGGAGUGUCGGAGGGGUAAGCGGAAUUCCUAGUGUAGCGGUGAAAUGCGUAGAUAUUAGGAGGAACACCAGUGGCGAAGGCGGCUUACUGGACGACUACUGACGCUGAGGCUCGAAAGCGUGGGGAGCAAACAGGAUUAGAUGCCCUUGUA